UGAGCUUGACUCUAAUCGAAGGCUUACGUUCCACGUGGGCUACUUACUAGAUUGAGUGGGGCUCA
rnacentral:sRNA from 17 species